CUAAGUCUGGGUGGGGAGGGGGUUCUACUGUCUGCCAAGGGCUGUCAGGCUGAGGAUGUCCACCCCUCACCCUGUGCUCCCAUGGACGCAGUACCCCCAUCUCUCUCCAGCCCCCAGUGGUGAUGGCGGGAUGCCAGGGAUGCCCCCGCCGCCUCGCCACCCAGCCCUGGCUCUCUCCUCUGGGCAGGGAGGGCACCUGCCUCUGCCCACAGCCCAGCUGCACAUGAAUGGGUCGGGACAGCGGGACAGUGGAGCUGCCCUAAAGGUGGGCCGGCGGCUCUCAGCGCCCAGCACUAUGUGUGCCAGGCAGGGCCUGAGACCACCAUCAGAGGGCCCGAGGGGUUGGGGACACUUCCAGUGGGCCCCCAAAUCCAGUUACAGAGGAAUCCUGGGUGUCAGCCUGGAGCCCUCUCCUACGGGAUGCUGUGUCCACACAGGGAGGAGACGGGUUCCUCCAGCAUCCCUGGCGGCCGGUCACUCAGGGCCUGGAAGACGGGGCGCCUGGCAUUUGCCCCACGAUCCCGGUUUCUCCUCUCCUGACAAGCAGGUCCAGGCCUGAGAGCCAGAGCAGCCCUGCUGGGCGGUGGCCGGUCCUGCGGCGCCCCCUCCUGGCCACUCUGGGAAACCACGCAGCCAGCUGGACCUGGCCGGGCGCCAGGGCCCAGAAAAGGCCUCGUCCCCACAGAUACCCCAACACAUGGGUGUGAAGUGCAGCAGGAAAACAGCCGACAAAUAGUCCUUUAAAAUCCUGCAUAGAAACUGCUAAACCACCAGUAUUUGUUGAGUGCCAGACACGUGCCCAGCACUCCGCCAGGUGCAGAGGGUCCUUCUGGUCAUGGCCGUGGACAGAGAACCCAGACCCAUGACCACCAGCACGAGAGCCGCUGCGCCCUGCAUGCAGACCGUCCCGGAAGAGCCGCUGGACCCCUGUGACCUGUUGCUCCCAAUGGGCUUCGCUAGCGCCCGAGGCCCCACGCUGAAGAAAAUAUGGCAGGAUAUCUCCAUGAGCUAUUAGCACCAAAUUCUCUUAAACAACACCAAAAAAAAGAAAGAAGUCACAAAGGAAAAGAUUGAUGAAACUCACUACUAUUCAAAUGAAAAACUGCUGGACCAAUGAAUAAACAAACAGAGAAAAGCCACGCAGAUAGCCUGGGAAGUGAUAUUUGCAAUAUGUGUGACCAGCAAAGUGUUAGAAUCUCGGAUAAACGAAGCACUCCCUCAAAUCAAUGAGAAAUGGAAAAAACAACUCAGCAGAAUGGGCGCAGGCUCCUGGGAGGCCCCGGGCAGGAGAGGAGAUGGAGGCGGUGCUAGGCAGAGAGAAGACGCCCCUUCCCAGCCUUGGGGGAUGGCAGAGCCAUAGGACAGCGACAGCUACACGGCUUAGCACUCGGCCAGGCUGCUGGGAGGGAGCACGACGGGCUCUCCAGCUGGGAAGCCAUUGUGCUCUCUGGCCCCAUGACGCCCUUCUCUGGGGAAGCCCUGGGGAAAACCAGCUCAUGCAGGUCCGCCGGACUGGAGUAAGUUCACUGAAUGUCACAAUGAUUUUAAAAGCCUUGAGUGAGAACGGCAAGUCCCCUCUCUCCACACCCUGGGAAGGAAUGUUCCUGAGUGGUGAGCAGAGGCGUCCAUGGAGCUCAGCCCCAGAACUGGUCCUUUAUGGAGACGCCCCGAUAUUCCCAGGGGCCCUCAACCGUGGUCGCCCGGGAGAACCAGCCAAGGAUGGGUAUCAACCUGACACGAAUCUCAACCCUCCAGCUGUGGUCGGUCAGCGGGUGGCGGUUACCCUGGACUCAGCAUCAAAUUAGCAGGAGCAGUCAGCUGAAGGGGACGACUUCCCUGAGGGUGGAGGCCACUUCGGUCCUGGUUCCUUGCCUCCCCAGUGCCAGGAACAUACCAGGAGGCCUUUCGGUAAGUGUAGAAGAAGUGAAUGGUUAAUGGAUUUGAGUCAAGCUUCAUAAUCAAAGCACUUUCACCAUCUUGUGUGAUCCUCACAACAAACCCUUGAAGUACGUUGUCAGGUCCAUUUUAUACCAGAGUAAACGGAGGAGGAAGUUGAGCAACUCAGGGAAGCUCACCCUGAGGCCUGAGCCCUUAGCAGUGAAACUCACUAACAAAGACACCAAGCGUCGGCCUCCAGCACAUUUAACUCUGACACGAAGGCAACUGACUUCGAUCUGUGUGCCAUGGACCCCACUUUGUGAUGUGAAUGUCUGCCCCUACCGCUGUCCCUCAAAGGACCAAGUUGUGAAGGGUCUGUCUAACCUAGAGCAUCCUAGCUUUUGUACAAAGGUGGUGUGGAGAGCAUUGGGCUGGGAUUUAGGAAAGCUGGGUUCCAAAUCUAGUUCUAACUCAUGAAGCAAAUCCUUUGGAAUGUGUGAGCCUUCAUUUCCUUGCUUGUGAAAUCAGGGAGCUGAAUCAAGUAGAUUCUCAAAGCUGGGAAUUCCAGAUCUCUCAGGAUUUGGUUACAGAGAGUCUUUUUGUAAAAUCGUCCUUCAAUUUUCUGUUUUUCAAUCUCCUUUUUAUUAUUUUUGCAAACACACACAUAACAUUCUAUGUAGCAUAUAUGUUAAUUUGUGAGACAUAAAAAUAUAAUAAGCACCUGUGAAUUCACCAUUAGAACAUUAUCAGUGUCUGCAUCCCCUUCCCUUGUCCCAUACACGGUCCUCCUCUCCAAAGCUACCAUCUCAUUUCUGUGGCUACCAUCUCAUAAAUGCCUCUGGAAGCCAUCUAGCCCCACAUGCCUCUCUCUGCAAACAGAAACUAGCUCACAGAAGCUCAGUGACUCAGGUCAGCCUUUAAACAGCCAUUAAUUAUGGAAAUUAAUGUUGCAGCGUGAGCUCUAGAAGCCAAGGCAUAUGAUAUUCAGGCAUCAUUAGGUUCAGAACUAUGCAGAUGAAGGUCAGGAAAUGGAAGGCGUGUCCAUUCCUUGUCACUGCAGGGCGAUCAAAUGCCAGUGCUACAGCAAGAGCCUCUUCUUAUGCCAUGAUUGCAGAGAGGAGGAGGUGUCUGUGGGAAAGGUACAAAGCACACCGAAAUGCAUCAGGGCUAACCCAGAAGGGCCGAGACGGGGGAUAUUAUUGUAUUCCCUCUGUUCCAAAAUGUUUAUUUUCAUUUGAAUUAUUUACCAAAUAGGUGAUAUAUGUACAUAGAAGAAAAUCCAAAAAGUAUGAAAGUAUAAUGUCUCCCUCCCUCCUUGGUCCCCAGCCAACGGAUCGUCUUUACCUAUGGCAACCACUGGAAUCUUUCCAUUGAUAAACUAAAUUUAUACGAGUAAAUACAAUUCAUUUACCUUUUAAUGUAAUGGCAGUAUACUUCAAACAGUGUUCACCUUGUUUUUGUAAAUGCAAUAUUUGUUCACUCAUUUAACAUUCACUCCAUGCCUGCUUAUGUGCAGGCACUGUUUGGCUGAUGCAAUAAGUCGGGUGGACUAUACACAAGAACCCCUGCUCUCAUUGCGCUCAGUGGAGGGAGACAGACAAUCAACAUAAACAGCAAGUUAUAUAAUGUGUUAGAAAAUGCUAAGUGCCUGGGAGAAAUAGAGCAGAAUAAGGGGUUGGAAGGAUGCGGCAGUUGUAAAUAGGAUGCCUCAUCUAGAGGUGACAUCUGAGCAAUGUGGCUAUCUGGGGACAGAGCCUUCCGGGCCUAGGAGACAGCUGAUGCAAGCACCCCCGUGCCUGGCGUGUGGAGAACAGCAAGGAGGCCA